CGCGCGUGUACCCGCAAGGGGAAAGCGGCGUAAGGGACAGUAAUUGUGUAGGUAUCUACCCUGGGGUCCAGGAUAGCCACGGGAAACUGUGGGUAAUACUGGAUGACAUCUCCGGAUCAAAGGUGUGAUUCCGCCCUGGGAUGAGCCUGCAUCCUAUUAGGUAGUUGGUGAGGUAACGGCUCACCAAGCCAAUGAUGGGUAGGGGGUGUGAGAGCACGACCCCCGUCACUGGGACUGAGACACUGCCCAGACACCUACGGGUGGCUGCAGUCGAGGAUCUUCGGCAAUGGGCGCAAGCCUGACCGAGCGACGCCGCGUGCGGGAUGAAGGCCUUCGGGUUGUAAACCGCUGUCAGUGGGGAGGAAAUGCCGGUGGGUUCUCCCAUCGGUUUGACCUAUCCGCAGAGGAAGCAAGGGCUAAGUUCGUGCCAGCAGCCGCGGUAAGACGAGCCUUGCUAACGUUAUUCGGAAUUACUGGGCAUAAAGAGCACGUAGGCGGUCGGGUUAGUCUGACUGUGAAAUCCCUCGGCUUAACUGAGGAAUUGCAUCGGAUACUGCCCGACUAGAGUGCAGCAGGGGAGAGUGGAAUUCCAGGUGGAGCGGUGAAAUGCGUAGAUAUCUGGAGGAACGCCGGUGGCGAAAGCGACUCUCUGGGC
rnacentral:rRNA from 1 species